rnacentral:tRNA from 1 species
AUUACUAGUAGUACAUACUAGUAUGUACUACUAGUACUAGUAUUAGUAGUACAAUUACGUACUGGUAGUAUGUACUACUUGUACUAAUAGUAC